rnacentral:rRNA from 1 species
UACGAAGGGGGCUAGCGUUGUUCGGAAUUACGUGGGCGUAAAGCGUAUGCAGGCGGAUCGUUAAGUCGGGGGUGAAAUCCCGAGGCUCAACCUCGGAACUGCCUUCGAUACUGGCGAUCUUCGAGUCCGGGAGAGGUGAGUGGAACUCCGAGUGUAGAGGUGAAAUUCGUAGAUAUUCGGAAGAACACCAGUGGCGAAGGCGGCUCACUGGCCCGUACUGACGCUGAGAUACGAAAGCGUGGGGAGCAAACAGG